UACGUAGGGUGCGAGCGUUGUCCGGAAUUACUGGGCGUAAAGAGCUUGUAGGCGGUUCGUCGCGUCGAUCGUGAAAACGUGCAGCUCAACUGUGCGCUUGCGGUCGAUACGGGCGGACUAGGAGUACGUGCAGGGGAGACUGGAAUUCCUGGUGUAGCGGUGAAAUGACGCAGAUAUCAGGAGGAACACCGGUGGCGAAGGCGGGUCUCUGGGCCGUAACUGACGCUGAGGAGCGAAAGCAUGGGGAGCGAACAGG
rnacentral:rRNA from 1 species